CAGCAUCAGGAAGAGAAGUUAGAGCUCAGGAUGACUUUCACAAUGGCCUGGUCCUGCCUCCUCUUCACAUUCCUUGUUCAGUGCACAGGGUCCUGGGCCCAAUCUGUGCUGACUCAGCAGCCCUCAAUGUCUGGGACUCCAGGAGCGACAGUCACCAUCUCCUGCAUUGGAAGCAGCACAAAUAUUGGGAAUGGCAAUAGUGUGCAGUGGUACCAGCAGCUCCCAGAAACGGCCCCCAAACUCUUGAUCUAUGGUAGUAGUAAUCGACCCUCAGGGGUCCCCGAUCGCUUCUCUGGCUCCAGAUCUGGCAACUCUGGUUCACUGACCAUCACUAGGCUACAGCCUGAGGAUGAGGCUGACUAUUACUGUCAGUCUUAUGACAGUAGCCUCAGUUCUCACACAGUGCUCCAGGCUCAUGGGGAAGUAAGACAAAAACCCCUUUACCAUCUGUCAGGAGGGCAAACACCCAGCAGCUUUGCUCAGGCCUGCACUCUGGCUUUUUCUGCUACCACUACUACAAGCCCAGCUGAAUGUCCUGGCACUUCUUUGAGUGAGGAACUUCUUCUCCUCUUUUCUCAUAGUCAUUCACAGCAGCAUGUUCCUAGGAAAAUAUCUUCUAAAACACAUAAAUUCCUGCUUCCCAUUAAUUUGAGGAGCUGA